rnacentral:lncRNA from 1 species
CAGCGGAUGGCAAGCAGCUGUGGGAUCAACAACAUAACACCUGGUUUCUGACCUAAAGUGACUAAGAAACUGGAGAUCUCAUCACUGGCAGCCACAGUCCUGCAACAUGAUCUAUCCUCUGAUAUAUUUGUCUAAUGCUUUUUUUAGGCCUCCUGUAGGCUCUAGCUGCAGAAAACAAUCCCUCUGAGUUCUUUCUUUCCUUGUAGAAAUUGGCAAAGAGAUAAGAAACAAAGUGUCUCCUAGACCUCAUGGAUUCCCUAUUUUUUCCUCAGUUUCUACUUAUAGCAUUCACACUUCCUGCUACAGGAGACUAACUGCAGCAAAAUGUUUUCAGUCUGCCAGAAGGAUUGCUUAUAAGAUCUUCAGAAGCAGUCAGGCUCUCAGCUGUGCCUCUACUCAUCUAAAUCCUUCAGAUGGACACUACUGACACCUACCACUGCCAUUGAACCCAGUGGGUGCCUUGACUGAUGAAAAAACUCCUCAUGGAAUUCACUGUCCACCAUGAAUGAAGUGUUUGGGGUCCAGCUCAAGCCAGAAGCUCAGAGGAGACCUUGCAAAUAGACACCCUGCCAGUAGACCUGAUCUCCCACUUACGACACAUACUGAAUCAGGAUAAGGUAAGGGUCAGAGCCCUCAGACACGAUUUGGACUGCUUAGGUGUGUUUGCACCCUCUGCUGUGAUGUGAGCUUUGCGCUCCAUAUUAAAGGAGAUUUCCCUAAAUGUCAGGUUUGGGGUCGAUCUCUCUUACUGAAUAGCAACAGGAUAAUGCCACUGUAUGUAAGUGGUGAGGCUUGAUGAGCAGGAACCUGACUCCCUAGACCACUGGUUCAUAAACUGUAGUAUGUUGGAAACUGUGCCCUACCUAACUGUUCAGCUAUCAAAAAUGAGGAAACUCUAACACAAAAGAGUGACAAACUCAAAAUACUUGGUAGGGCACUGACAUGAAAUCCUAUACUCAUAUCUCUGCUCUGAAUCAUGCUGGCCAUAUUUAGUAAACCUAGGACUCCUACACCCUUGGUGAAUAAUCUAAACUGGAAGGCAAAUGCAUGUUUUUAGAAGUGGAGAUGGAGACAUUCUGGCUGCUAGCAGGGACCCUUAAUACCUGGGAAAGGACUCAACCUUUGCUUAAAGCAUGGUCUGUCUACAAAAGAUGGAUUGAGUAGUACAGCAAACUGUUACUAUGUGGAUGAUUCACUUGGUUUAUGAGGAAGAAAAUGGAUUAAAG